GUCUGUCCUUCCUUCCCCACAGGGCUGAUGGCGGCCGUGACGUUGGACGAGUCUGGGGGCGGCCUCCAGGCACCCGGAGGUGGGAUCAGCCUCGUCUGCAAGGGCUCUGGAUUCACCUUCAGCAAUUUUCACAUGUUCUGGGUGCGACAGGCACCCGGCAAGGGGCUGGAGUGGGUCGCAGGUAUUGAUGAUGAUGGUAGUGACACAUUCUACGGGGUGGCAGUGGAUGGCCGUGCCACCAUCUCCAGGGACAACGGGCAGAGCACAGUGAGGCUGCAGCUGAACAACCUCAGGGCUGAGGACACCGCCACCUACUGCUGCACCAGAGAUGGCUCUGAGUGUGCUGCUGGUUAUUGGGGUGCUGUUGCUGGUCACACAGACGUCACAGGCACACGUGUUCAUCUGCAUCUGGGAAGAUGGACUCCAGACACCUGGAGGAGGGAUCAGCCUCGUCUGCAAGGCCUCCGGAUUCACCUUCAGCAGUUUUGGCAUGCUCUGGGUGCGACAGGCACCUGGCAAGGGGCUGGAAUACGUCGCUGGUAUUUGGAGCACUGGUAG